rnacentral:rRNA from 1 species
CGGCCACAUUGGGACUGAGACACGGCCCAGACUCCUACGGGAGGCAGCAGUGGGGAAUAUUGCACAAUGGGGGAAACCCUGAUGCAGCGACGCCGCGUGGAGGAAGAAGGUCUUCGGAUUGUAAACUCCUGUUGUUGAGGAAGAUAAUGACGGUACUCAACAAGGAAGUGACGGCUAACUACGUGCCAGCAGCCGCGGUAAAACGUA